GUGCGCAGCCAUCAACCAUAAACAUACCAAUUUCAUAUGAUCUUGGAAGUUAAGCAGUAUUAUAUCUUGUUAGUACUUGGAUAAGGAUUAUAGCACACU
rnacentral:rRNA from 1 species